rfam:Otolemur garnettii contig049747, whole genome shotgun sequence.
GCCCGGCGCGGUGGCACGUGCCUGCAGUCCCAGCUACUCCGGAGGCUGAGACAGGAGGAUCGCUUGAGUCCAGGAGUUCCGAGCUGUAGUAAGCUAUGCCGAUUGGGUGUCCGCACUAAGCUGGGCAUCAAUAUGGUGACCUCCCGGGAGUGGGGACCACCAGGUUGCCUAAGGAGGAGUGAACCGGACCAGGUAGGAAAAAGCAGGUCAAAGCUCCUGUGCUGAUCAGUAGUGGGGAUCGCGCCUGUGAAUAGCCAAUGCACUCCAGCCUGGGCAAUAUAGUGAGACCCUGUCUCUA